rnacentral:rRNA from 1 species
UUGACCUCGGAUCAGGUAGGGAUACCCGCUGAACUUAAGCAUAUCAAUAAGCGGAGGAAAAGAAACCAACAGGGAUUGCCUCAGUAACGGCGAGUGAAGCGGCAACAGCUCAAAUUGA